rnacentral:rRNA from 1 species
UACGGAGGGUGCGAGCGUUGUCCGGAAUCACUGGGCGUAAAGGGCGCGUAGGCGGCCUGAUAAGUAGGGGGUGAAAUCUUGCGGCUCAACCGCAAGGCUGCCUUCUAAACUGUCAGGCUUGAGCACAGUAGAGGCAGGUGGAAUUCCCGGUGUAGCGGUGGAAUGCGUAGAGAUCGGGAAGAACAUCAGUGGCGAAGGCGGCCUGCUGGGCUGUUGCUGACGCUGAGGCGCGACAGCGUGGGGAGCAAACAGG